rnacentral:tRNA from 1 species
GUCUUAGUGGCUCAGUGGUAGAGCAUCGGAACGCAAAUCCGAAGAUCUGAGGUUCGAUUCCUCACGGGGACU